CACCACCCACCGCCGCCGCCUGCGCUGUAGUGAUAUCUGAGGUGGCCGCUGCCGCUGCUGCCUGGGGAAGGGGGGGAGGGGUAUUAGCCCCAAAGAACGGAGGCAGCAUGAGGAGGAACACAGGAACGUCAUCAGCCGCACCGUCGAUGCGUGCCCCAUCGCUACCCCUCUCUACACGCCUCCUUCACACAACACACAAACACACACAAGCGCAACGAGAGAUCUACACACACACACACCUCCGCAAACGUCGCUGUAAUCGCCGCCGCCAUCAGGUCCUCCCAGCUGCCCAGUACGGUUGGCGACGGUUGGGAGUACGGCAACCCGGCUGGCAGCCGCACCGCAAGGGGCCAAUCGUGCGGAUGAGGCAGCCCCGCACCACCCGACACCGCCGUCGGAGCCACUGCGCCCAGAGCUGUCUGCAGCUGCUCGCGGGCCAACAACCGCUCCAAACCCGCGGAGAGAUCAUGCCGCUGUGCCGUACCACUGCCGUUACCUGUAUCGUAACGGCCGUAACGACCAUAACGGCCGCCUCUGCCUCCGCGUCCAUCGGGGCCGGCGGCGGCGGCGCCUCCACCUCCCUCAUCC
rnacentral:lncRNA from 1 species